AGCGAACGCUGGCGGCAGGCCUAACACAUGCAAGUCGAACGAACCCUUCGGGGUUAGUGGCGGACGGGUGAGUAACACGUGGGAACGUGCCUUUAGGUUCGGAAUAACUCAGGGAAACUUGUGCUAAUACCGAAUGUGCCCUUCGGGGGAAGGAUUUAUCGCCUUUAGAGCGGCCCGCGUCUGAUUAGCUAGUUGGUGAGGUAAUGGCUCACCAAGGCUACGAUCAGUAGCUGGUCUGAGAGGAUGACCAGCCACAGUGGGACUGAGACACGGCCCAAACUCCUACGGGAGGCAGCAGUGGGGAAUCUUGCGCAAUGGGCGAAAGCCUGACGCAGCCAUGCCGCGUGGAUGAUGAAGGUCUUAGGAUUGUAAAAUCCUUUCACCGGUGAAGAUAAUGACUGUAGCCGGAGAAGAAGCCCCGGCUAACUUCGUGCCAGCCGCCGCAGUAAUAC
rnacentral:rRNA from 1 species